rnacentral:rRNA from 1 species
CUUGCUGGGCUGGAUGAGUGGCGAACGGGUGAGUAACACGUGAGUAACCUGCCCUCUUCUUUGGGAUAACGGUCGGAAACGGCUGCUAAUACCGGGUAUUCACUGUCCUUCGCAUGGGGGGUGGUGGAAAGGUUUUUUCUGGUGGGGGAUGGGCUCGCGGCCUAUCAGCUUGUUGGUGGGGUGAUGGCUUACCAAGGCUUUGACGGGUAACCGGCCUGAGAGGGUGACCGGUCACAUUGGGACUGAGAUACGGCCCAGACUCCUACGGGAGGCAGCAGUGGGGAAUAUUGCACAAUGGGCGAAAGCCUGAUGCAGCGACGCCGCGUGAGGGAUGAAGGCCUUCGGGUUGUAAACCUCUUUCGCUCAUGGUCAAGCCGCAACUUUGGGUUGUGGUGAGGGUAGUGGGUAAAGAAGCACCGGCUAACUACGUGCCAGCAGCCGCGGUAAUACGUAGGGUGCGAGCGUUGUCCGGAAUUAUUGGGCGUAAAGGGCUUGUAGGCGGUUUGUCGCGUCUGCCGUGAAAUCCUCUGGCUUAACUGGGGGCGUGCGGUGGGUACGGGCAGACUUGAGUGCGGUAGGGGAGACUGGAACUCCUGGUGUAGCGGUGGAAUGCGCAGAUAUCAGGAAGAACACCGGUGGCGAAGGCGGGUCUCUGGGCCGUUACUGACGCUGAGGAGCGAAAGCGUGGGGAGCGAACAGG